GACGAACGCUGGCGGCGUGCUUAACACAUGCAAGUCGAACGGUAAGGCCCUUCGGGGUACACGAGUGGCGAACGGGUGAGUAACACGUGGGUGAUCUGCCCUGCACUUCGGGAUAAGCCUGGGACACUGGGUCUAAUACCGGAUAGGACCACUGCCUGCAGGGGUGGUGGUGGAAAGCUUUUGCGGUGUGGGAUGGGCCCGCGGCCUAGCAGCUUGUUGGUGGGGUGAUGGCCUACCAAGGCGACGACGGGUAGCCGGCCUGAGAGGGUGACCGGCCACACUGGGACUGAGAUACGGCCCAGACUCCUACGGGAGGCAGCAGUGGGGAAUAUUGCACAAUGGGCGCAAGCCUGAUGCAGCGACGCCGCGUGAGGGAUGACGGCCUUCGGGUUGUAAACCUCUUUCAGCACCGACGAAGCGCAAGUGACGGUAGGUGCAGAAGAAGGACCGGCCAACUACGUGCCAGCAGCCGCCGUAA
rnacentral:rRNA from 1 species